AAUUUUUCCAAUCUUUCAAAUGACCUGAUUGACGUUUUACCAAACGUAAACGAUGUAAAAGAAGCUUAAAGAAAAUAUAAAUUUCCAGAAAUGUUUUGAGCAGUCGAGGCAACUUUGAAACAGCAAAUAUUGGUGUCAACAGUACAUGUUCCCAGAUGUCAGUUGGGAUCAAAUCAUCCUUCAACCAAUCAAUCAAUCAAGAAAUGCUUUAUUAUAUUAUCGGAAGAACAAUGUUCUCAUACAUAAAGUUACUAUGAUAGAAUCAUUCUUGGUUUUAGGGAUUGUUCCAGAUAACCUUUAAAUUGUGGACUUUAACCCACAUAAUCCAAGAUGGUUUAUUGGUCUGCACAUUUUUAUAUUUGAUAAUUUGUCUACUAAAGCGGUAGAGAUUAUCAAAGGCGUUGGUAACGGAUGAAGUAGAUCACCUCUUUGAAAGAGGUACAUAUCAGGUUUUCGAAAAAAUCACUCUUGUGAGACGGCACUCCAGUAUACAGUAUAACAAAGUGAACACAUGUUGAUGAGGGGAAUUAUGCAGUAUCAGUCUUCCUAAAUUUCAAAAUGGCUUUCGAGACCAUCGAUAGAAAUAUUCUAUUGGAAAAAUUGACGUACUAUGGAAUUGAAUGGCAUACUGCUUUGGUUUGAAAGUUAUUCGAAAAGUAGAAAGCUGACUACAAAAGUUUUAAAUCAUCAACUUCAACAGAAUCUGUGGAUGAUUUAGGGGUCCCGCAAGGUAGACAAUCGACUGAGCUAUUUGCAGAUGGCACCUCUUCAUACAUAUCAAAUAAUAACUCAAAUAAUGCAAUAGAGGAGCUACAAGAUGUAAUGGAUCGAACUGUUGAAUAUUCACUGACCAAUAAACUUGUCCUAAAUGUACCUCAUUUUAGUGAAUAUUUAUCUUGGUUUUCCUGAUAACCAAGAUGAAAUAACUAAGAACUUUCCUGUCAUUUACUUCAAAGUCAGAAACAUCCAUUAAAAAGUUACCAUUUAUUUGCAUGCAACUCCAGUGCAUCCUUUCCAAAUCCAAAGAAUAGAUGGAGCCAGUGAAAUUAUUGAAUUCUUCUUCAAAGCCACCAAAAAUAAUCAUAUGGUUUUUCCACAAAGACGCACUGUGACCAUCCCUGGGUCUAGGAUGAUUUCCGGUAGUCUUUGGAGUUGUCCAACAGUGCAAAUUGGUAUCAAAACAAAAUAACUUGGAACAAGACGCUUGGUUGUUCCUACCACCCCAGAUAUAAACUUUAUCUCCGUAAACAAUAGCGGUGUGUCUAUACCUACAAACAUAUAAUUUCAUAUUCAAAUAACAUAUUAUUGUUAGAUUUUCACUGGACAGUUUACAAAACUGAAGUACGUGUUUCGUUCUACAAUAGCUUCUUCAAGCAUUCCCAUACUGAAUAAUUUCUACCUUAUUCAUGCUUUAUAUAAUAAUAAUUUGAAUCAUAUAACCUUCUACCUAAUUAUUGACUUAUUAUUUUACCUGAUUCUAGGUGAAGCUUCUUAUCAGUAAACAACAUAUAACAUAUAUGUUAAUACAAGAUAGAUGUUGAUAAUUUUGCAGUUUUUUCAACUUGUCUAAGGCGCUUGAUACAGUGUCCUCUGCAAUACAUUUAAAGUACUUGUUACUUGGAUAAUUUACUGAGAUGGUUGAGUUCCUAUAUGAAAGGACGUUGAUCAGAGUUAUAUAUAGAAUCAGAGAAAUAUGAGAUGUUAAAAACUAGGUUUCCUCAGGGUUCAGUGUUAGGACCACUAUUAUUUGUUAAUGAUUUGCUAGAGAACUGGCAAGUUGAUGAAACCGUGGUUUCCUAUAAUUUGUAACUAAAACCGUACUUUGAAUGAAAUACAUUUUUAGCUAAUAUGUUUACAAUCUCUUAUUUAUAAGUCAGUGUAGGGAAGUUAAGUUUCUUUACUGCAUUUUAAGAAAUUUAAUUUAUUUAUUUCUGGAGUUAAUCUUCAUAGUAAAUCAAAUCUCAACUAUUACCUAUUGUAUGGGAAAAUAUUAUUUUCGAAGUAUGGUAAGUCGCUAACUGGAUGACGGGUCCAUCGUAAAGUUUCAGUAUCCAUAACACUAAUGUCCAUCGAGUACUGUUCUGAAAAUUCUCCUGUACGAAUACCUCCAAAUGUGUAAAUUUUGUUUCCGACGGCAACUGAUGCAUGAUUGACCUUCAUUGGGCCAAUGUCCAGAGCUAAUGUCCAACGCAUACUCGAAAGGCUUAUCUUCAGAUGGACUAAGGUAUACUGCUUUCAGUGUUCUCCUAACAAUGUUUUUAUUUGAAUUUCAGAGUGAAAUUCAAUUUCCAAAAAAAUACAUAUACUUAUUCUUUGUUGAAUGUUGAUUUUCUAGUAUAAAUAAAAUCUGUUGAAA
rnacentral:lncRNA from 1 species